rnacentral:rRNA from 1 species
AUGCCCGCUGCUAAUCCACCACCCCUCCACCAGCCCAUACCGGCGGCGCUCCAUCCGGCGACGUCGGCCACCCCGCACUCCCUUCCUGCUGCUCUCCUUGUCGGCCUCCAACGCCCGUCCCAGCAGCUCCUCUGGGAGUUCCUUGCUUCUCAAGCCGCGGCGCCUGCGCCAACGGGUGCGCCCGAUCCAGAUCUGGAGUUUGGCACGCCGCCGCCACCUCCUCCGGGUCGGCCGCACCGCUCUGCUGACAAGGUUGAGGUGGUGCUGGAGACCCCUCCCGGCCUGCUCGUCCGCGCGGCACCCACACCUACCGGCUUCAAUGCGGCUGCUGCUGGCCACGGUGCCAUCCCGUCGAGCGUUAGUGAAGUUAAUGGAGGCCAUCCCUCGGGCUGGUUGGCUUGCUUUCGCCCACAACCUUUGCAGAGUGUCGCCGAGCAUUCAAGGCCGCGCAGCGCGGUGGCCUCGAAGCUCGAGGCAGAGGUGACCGCGCCAUGGGUGGAGGUCAAAUCACGGCGGCCACGCUCACCAGCCAAGCCAGUUGGGGCAUUCACUACGCGCGCUCCUCCUCCUGCGUGGAUAAACGGGUUGUGUUUCCACUGCCUUGGCCAUCGACACCGAGCCGUCGACUGCCGCAACCCCGUCACCUGCAGGCGUUGCUUCCGCUCGGGCCAUUGGGCGUGUGAGUGCUUCCACGCCCCGCGUCCCCACCUGCGUCCUGGUGCGCCUAGGCCGCACAAGGCGGCCUCCCCUCCACCACCCCGCGCUCCUCCGCCCCCGCCGCCUCCGCCUGCCCGGAUGGCGACCUCGGCCUGGUCUGGCGACCACUCGGUCCGCCCGGAGGUGUUCGCCACAGACCACAACACCCCCGCGAUGCAGCUGGAGAUGGCCCUCCUGGAGUCCAAUGCCGUCGUCGCCUGGUUCGAUCGGGACCGCCAUGUCUCCACCAGCGAGAUGGCGGCGUUCCUUGCCGACAAGAUUGGGGCUCUGCAGAUCGAUGUUGUCGUCGUCCUCCACCACCCAGAGAAGUACCUCGUGCGGUUCAUCCACAAGCACCACGCCGAGCUGGCCGUAUCUCGCCGUGUGCUGCCGUUCGGGGACACCAAGCUGCAGCUCCGGGCGUGA